GUCGAUCUAUGAUUUUUAUAAUGCUUUUAAAAAUUCGUAACAUAGGUAAAAAUAUUUCCGAAUGUGUGGUUUUACGCAGCUGUUUUAUGUAUCGUGUGUAAUGCAUACAAAAAAAGUAGAAACACACAACGAUAGAGUAUUAAUCGUUGAUUAAAAUGGUGUAAAAAAAUACAUAGGUCACCGCUGAAAAACUCCCAGAAUUCUUCUACGACGAAAAGCAUUUCCGCACAUUUAUUCUGCCGGGAAGUGUCUCCCUCGCGCGGCGUAUUCUUCAGCCGGCGACUGGAGCCGAGGAGUGGGGCUAGCGGCUGCUGUGAAGGCAGCGGAGGGGAAGUUCGUCUGACGGCUGCUCGGUCGCCGUAUCAGCGCGUCGGGGUAUCGGAUAUCGCGAUAAGCACAUGUGUUCGCAGGAAUAGUGUCUACCACUGAGGCCGCCUGGUCGGGAAGGGUCAUUCCAUGCCAAAUCAACCAGAAAAUAAUAAUUUUUGGCAUCACCAUCUCAGAAUUAAAAAAAACUCGGCAAAUUAGCAGUAGGUGUGCAGAAAAGUGCAUUAGCAAAGUUAAAGCCCCCUGUGAAUAAUACUUUUUAUACAGCAGGGUUGCCAACUUGUGGAAAAAGUGGAAUUUUUGCUGCGCGAGGUCCAAUAAAAAUAUUUGUAACUUCCUUUGUAGUUGAGUGAGAACCUUGAAGUAGGGCUCAAUAGAAAGCUAGAAAAGUGUCCUUUGAGAUAAAAAUAAGUUUUACGAAUUUUAGAAGAAAUUUGUUUCAAGGUCAUGGUCAUGUAACAUGUGACCUUGAAAAUUUUGAAAAGUAUAUUUUUGAAAAAUGUGAAAAAAUUAUAUGUUAUGAAGUGCGUUAUUGGUCUAAGUGACAUAAGUUUCAUUUUGGGAUGGAUCUGGGAUCAAACACUAGAACAUUGUGAAUUAGGCCAUGUUCACUAAAACUACUCUAGUAAGGCAUUAACACAAUUCCACUUUUUCCACAAAUUGGCAACCCUGCUGUAUAAAAAGUAUUAUUCACAGGGGGCUGUAACUUUGAGAAUUCACUUUCCUGAACCUGUACUGUUAAAGCCCUAAGUUUCAUUGAAUUCGGUGAUGGUGAUGUCAGCAGGUGUGUGAAAUGGCAUUGAAUGACCCGGAAGUAAUAAAUUCUAGGAUUCAGGCAGUUAUUCCCAGAGAAAACCUCAACCAUUCUACGCCCACCAUAUCGCGCGGCGAGAAGACUCAGUAAGGCAUACUCGGAGCCAAGUGGAGGUUACCUGUAGGCGGAAAAAGUUGAGCGACUGUUAUUUUUACCCCUUGUUAGAUCGAUAUUUGGCUUUGUAACAGCAUCGAGAAGUACUAUUAUAUGCACGAUUUCUUUUUCAAGGAUGGAGUUAAAAAGAAACUGGAGAAAAUAAAGAAGAAUCAUCUUUAUAUUUAUGCAACAAGAAAGAAAAAUGAAGCUACUCAUCUCAAAGCAUACUGGAGUCAAAGGAAUAAAACUAUACCUAAACAAAACCAUGUCAAUGAAGAAUUGGAAAACCAGAGCCUAUCAAGAAUUCACUGCAGCCAUCAAGAACUGAUUGAAAACGAAAUAACUUCCGGAGUGCAUGAAGUAGUGUACUAUGAAGAAAGCUAUCCGGCAAAGAAAAAAUUUAAACUUGAUAGCUGCAGUUAUCAAGUUCCGGAAGGUAGAGACUCACGAUGACACCUUGGCAGCCAGGGAGUAAAAACGGCACAAGAAAUUUCUUCAAGAGAAAAUGACACAUCAGAUGAAGAGAAUAACUACUCUGUAACCAAUGUCCUGCACAAUGAAGAUGGGCAGUGUAUGUAAGUCCCUUAGCCCACUUUAAAAAUAAGUUAAUUACAAAGUGUUUUUAAUACAUGCUAUUUUUCUUUCUUCAACUAUUUCCUGAAAAAUUGUUUACUUUUUUUCCUUCGUAUCAUUUGCACACGGUCGGGUAGUUAUAAUAUUACACGAAACUAGACAUUCUUUCGAAACUAUAUUUCUAUCUAAAUAAAUCAAUAUAAAUAGUUAAAUGUUAUUGCUACUGUAAUGUGGCUCUUUCAGCUCUACAGCCAUGUCUUACACAGAAAUGCAACCGCCUCUGAAACUAUUUGAGAUGGAAGCAGGAUGUUCUUUCUGGUCAACCACCGAAGGAGCCAUUGACAUUCAGUAUGAGCUGGUGGACAGGAAUGAGCCAACUGUAGACAGUAGAUGUAUCAACAAUUCAGAGACAAGCAAUCAGGUUAGCUGAA